AGCCAAGGCAACCCGCUGGCCGUAUGGACACACAUAAAGGAAAGAUGUUUUUAGUUAGGCAACUGAACGAAGCUGGAAGUGUAGCAUUGCUAGGAUUAGCAUGAACUAAGUUAGCUUCAUACUAGGAAAGCUAGAAUGUCGACCAUAACUCCACAGUUGCUGCAGUCGCACAGAGCCACAAUAUCGCUCAGGGACAGGAAGACCAAGUCAGAGUGCAGGAACAGGGAUCGUCAUCUGUAGACCAAGAGAUGGCCAGAGAUUUCUUGAGAGAACUGCAGAAGACAGAGACAUUAGUUCUCUCCUGGAGUGAGGAAAGAAUUUGUAGAUAUAUGGAAUCUUGCUGUGAUAAUUAAACUUGAUCUUAC